AUUUUCAUCUGCCUAGCGGUUUGUAUACUACCUCAUUAACCAGUGUUUGAUAUAUUUUCAUUCUAUCAGCUUAUGUCUUACAGAAAUAAAUCCUUCCGAAAGUGAAGCAUUUGAUGCCAUCAAUCGUAUUUCCUCUUCGACUCACAUGUUUGAUAAUCAAACGCAAAAAGCGAAAAUUGAAGUUAUCGACUUGACGGUGGAAGAAGAAGAAGAAAAGAUUGCAGGGCAACAAGAAUCAUUGCGAGAAGAAAAGUUUGAUGCAGCGCCGGGGACUUCUGCCCCUAAGAGACCAAGAAUUGUUUACACACCAUAUGUAAAUAAAAGGCAAAAAAUUUCUGAAACACCUGUGCAAGAAGAAUACGAUACCGAUGAGGAUGAUGAUGAAGACGCAGAAUCAGAUCCAUGGACACCUCUUGCUAGCCCACUAAGUCCUUAUGCCAGUCCAUCAGAACCAAAUCCUUCUGCUAUUAAUUUUAAUUUAUCUGAAGGUUAGUGUUCCAUUUAUUUAAUUGAUUAUGACAAUAUAAUGAGAAUAUAAUAAACAUAAUUACUGUUGAAUGAAAACAAAUGAAUAUUAUUUUAUUGUUAAGUAUUAUUUA